CACCACAUUUAUAAAAUUCCACUAAUAGCACUUAUAUAUAUAAAUCUAAAUUAAUUAAAAUAGAGAAAUAAUUCUUUCUUCCUCAAAACACAACCGUUUGGCACUUCUUCUUCAUCCUUUCUCAAAACAAAAAUCGAUCUGGUUCUGGAGGAACUUUUGUCGCCUCGUCGUUUCUCUCAUCGCCUCAUCGGAUUCAUGUUAAUGCUGUCUCGUCACUGGUAUAUCACUGUUUCGCCGGAGAAAAUAGAGAUUUGUAAGAUUCAAUUAAAAAUAAAGGAAAAAAAAAGACAAAGAAGAAAGAGAGAUUUGAAAGCUAGAUGGAGGUGGUAACUUUGUAGAGAUGCGGAUUUGGUCAGAAAAACUGGAGUUGCAACAACACCCAAACAUUCAGGAAGGAUAUCUCGAAUUUCAGGAAGGCUUUCAUGAAAAAAAAAAAAAAAA